UUUCAGCUGGCCAGCUGCACCGUCCCAGCUCUGUUCUGGCCAAGCUGCAGCUCACAGUGGUGAUGAUUCCUCCUGGAAGAAAGCACAAAGCAAACACUGAAGCAGGGGGAGCGCUAGCAGUCAGGACAUGCAUGCCUCGUGGCUGUGGAGAGAGAAAGUGUCACAAAUGAGCGGCAAUAAAGGAUGUUUUCCUUGAAAACUGCUGAUGUGAAGGGCUGGACCGAGAUCUUCUCUGUGAGGUCUGUAGCUUGUUCAGAUACCUUUUUCAGGAUCCUAAUAUACAGCCAUGAUGCUUAUACAAAGCUGACAGUGUAUAGUAUUCAGGGUUUAGUGUUACCCCUGUAUAUGAACCAGUGCUGACUAAAGAGUUGAUAAUCUUCUUUAAUUCCUGUGCUGGAACCUAACCUCUGGAGUGUGUGGGCAAUAUGGGCUGAUAGCCUUCAUGGGCAAGCCAGUGGUGGACACUCAGUGAUCCCCAGGGAUGCUGGCCUGCUGCAGGCUGUAUCCUCCACAAGCCUUGCUCCUAACUCCAGAAUGAGUGAGAAAUCCUGUGAAUAUGAACCCAAAGUUUUCAUGGAAGAUUAUUGCAAGGAAGUGGCCCACAUGGACCAAAGCUCUGUCACCAGGUAAGCAGCCAUGGCAUGAAAGCCCUAGAGAUUGCUGAGCAGUACUUGCCAUGGUGCCUUUCCUGCCAUUACUGCCAUCGUGCAUGAGGCUUUGAAUCCAAAGGUCCUUCAACAAACUUCUGUUGGUGUCUUCAAAAUCAUGGCUGCUGACCCCCCAGAAUCAAACCCUAAGCAUGCACAUAAGAAGCGGUAUGGAUUACAGGUCUCUGCUGGUGAGUGUUAAGCUGCGUCCCGUCAUGAUGCUGCUACAGUUUGGUAAAAAAUUAAGUGUGUGCUCAGAAUGCCUUGGUGAAGGCUAUGCAUCUAUCAGGCAGGAAGAACAGAAGCCUGGUAGUUAAAAGCAUCACCCCUCGGCUUCAAAUCCUUCUAUUUGAUGUAAAUAACAAGGUGAACCUUUCACUAUGGAGAAUUAUGGCAUGAAGCUUUCUUAAUCUUACCUGUUGGACACUGUACAAAUGGCUUAUGAGGAGGAUCCAAACCUUAGUCUUUUGUAUCUCAGAUGAAAGCCCCAUUGAGCAGGUAACGGAGCCAACCACCAACAGACAUGAAAUAAAGGAAGAACAAGUGAAAUGGCUGUAGCAUGAAACUCACCCUGGAGUGUCUGAAAGCUUAAAUGGAGAUGUGUUUAGUCUCUUCCAUCUCAGGUAGAAGAAUCCUACAGAUCACCAGUUCCUUUGCCAAGAGACCACUCGUGGCUCCUAGAGCCAUUCUUUUGCCCCAUGAGGUUGAUAGGCUCAGCUGGAAGUCAAGAGAGAGCAUCUGGGCAGACAGUACGUGUGUGAAUGCUCACUGGACACACUGCUGUCCAACUCUCAGUUGAUAUCUCUACUUUAACUACUGUACUUGCAUUUUGUCUUGUUGGAUUUGAAAAUAAAGGUAUUGGGUAUGAAGUAGUAUACAUGCAAUAUGGGUGGCAAGGAGACCAAGAUGCAGGAGUAAGCUGGGGAGCUAAGCUUUUAGAAAAUGGAGACAACCCAUAUGACCUCUUUCCCCUGUGUCUUUGCUAGCUUAAGUGAAUCCCACCUUGGCUGUUUUCCCAGAACCCUUUCUUUAGACCAUCCAUGCUUCCUGGGAGUUAUGUGUACCUGGGGAUGAGGAUUCCACCAGGGAGUGGGGUUCUCUGGGGUCAGACGUUAAUAAACAUUGUGUACCUUUGAGGGCAUAGGCUCAGGCAAAUGAUGGGAUGAUGUGAACAUAAACAUUUAA